rnacentral:rRNA from 1 species
UACGAAGGGGGCUAGCGUUGUUCGGAAUUACUGGGCGUAAAGCGCGCGCAGGCGGUUCGAUAAGUUGGGGGUGAAAUCCCUGGGCUCAACCCAGGAAUGGCCUCCAAGACUGUUGAGCUUGAGGACGAGAGAGGUGAGUGGAAUUCCCAGUGUAGAGGUGAAAUUCGUAGAUAUUGGGAAGAACACCGGUGGCGAAGGCGGCUCACUGGCUCGUUUCUGACGCUGAGGCGCGAAAGCGUGGGGAGCAAACAGG